rnacentral:misc_RNA from 1 species
GUGAAUCAUCAAAUUUUUGAACGCAAAUUGCACUCUCCGGUUUUCCGGGAGAGUAGGCCUGUUUGGGGGUAAGCCUAACUAAAAUCGGCUUAGUAGUUUGCUGUUUUUUUCACGGUAACGUUGGUCGGAAUUUGGGUCAUCUUAAACCGAAAGGAUUUUAAGCGACCUAAAAUUUUCUUGCGAUCUCGCGAACGUUUCUAAGAUGUUCUUGCUCGUUCAAGGUAUCGAUAUUAGUC